GUCUUCGUGGCUCAGUUGGUUAGAGCGUUGGUCUCAUACGGUCGUAUGAUUCUCUAGGACACUAGAGGAAUGCCCAAUCCAAAGGUCGUGAGUUCGAGUCUCACCGAGGACA